UCUGAGAUAGCCGGUAAUGACUCUAAUAGGGGAUAUGUCUCGGUGGCAUUACGUAUUCCGUCCUCAACAGGUGAAAAUCAUCUGCAUACCCGGAAGAGCAAACUAAUGCGACAACCAUUUGCCAAGGAUGAUUUUCAUUGAACAAGAACGAAGGCAAAGGGGAACCAAAACGAUUUAGAUACCGUUGUUAGUCUCUUCCGUAAACUAUGCCAAUUGGGGAUCCAGCACAGGAUUUUUAAUGAAAAGUGUUGGCACCCGGAAGAAAAAUCUUAAAAUGAGAUUCGGGGGGAGAGUAUGGUUCGCAAGGCUGGAAACUUAAAGGAAUUGACGGAAGGGCACCACCAGGUGUGGAGCCUGCGGCUUAAUUUGACUCAACACGGGGAAACUCACCAGGUCCAGACACAAUAAGGAUUGACAGAUUGAUAGCUCUUUCUUGAUCUUGUGGUUGGUGGUGCAUGGCCGUUCUUAGUUGGUGGAGUGAUUUGUCUGGUUAAUUCCGAUAACGAACGAGACCUUAACCUGCUAAAUAGACCAGCCGGCUUUGGCUGGCUGCUGUCUUCUUAGAGGGACGAUCACCGUUUAGCUGAUGGAAGUUUGAGGCAAUAACAGGUCUGUGAUGCCCUUAGAUGUUCUGGGCCGCACGCGCGCUACACUGACAGGAGCCAGCGGAGUCUACCACCUUU
rnacentral:rRNA from 1 species